GUUCGACACGGAUGGGGAAGCAACAGGUGUUACCAUCGCUCAUCAGGCACAAGAGCACUUCCCCACAACAGCUCAGGAGAACAGGUCAGUGGAUGUCCUCUGAUACUCCCACAAAGCCAAGUGUCUCUUUACACCCAGGAACUCGCAAAACACAUGGCCAUGCUUUUAGCAGCAGACUUGGGAAUUAUGAAAAGGACUGAUAACCUGUCAAAAUCACAACAAGGAUCACAAGAAGAAACAUGCGAACUACACCUGGGAUGCAAGGUGCCAGGACUGUUAUACUGCCAGAUCCACCAUUAUUCAUUAUUGUAUCUUACUGUAUGUAAGUAAUAAAAAGUGUCAACUGAAGAUCAAGAUCAAGGUGCCAAAUUAGAUUGAAACCUGUAUGACAAAUGUGUUUGGGUUAGACAUAAAAUGUGUAUUAUUUGUUAAAAUUCAUAGUGUGAGAUUGUGUUGUGGAAUUUUUAUAAAUACUGUGUUAUAUAUUUUC